rnacentral:piRNA from 1 species
UAUGCUUGCACACUGAGGAUCAGACCU